GCGGCUGGACCCCUCCUUUCUAAGGAGUCCAUGGGGUGUCACCAACGGCACACCGACUCCCAGUUGGUGCACUGGUGCCUGUCGUCAUCGACCCCGACCGGUCGUAGGUUCUCCCUCCCGGUCGGACGAGGUGCCGCCAGGCGUCGUCUCUUCCGUUCUCAAGGUGCGCUGCGUCUUCCGCAGCGCACCUUCUCGCGUCGAGCGCUCGCCGGCUCGAGCUCCCAGCUCGCCGGCGAUCUCGCCUCUUUCGCUCCUUGAGAAUUGCAUAGCGAACACGAGCAUCUUUGUAAUUUCCAAGCUACAAAGAGCCAACGGUGGAUGCCUUGGCGUCGAGCACCGAUGAAGGACGUGUCUGGCUGCGAAAAGCCACGGGGAGCUGCCGAGAGAGCUUUGAUCCGUGGAUGUCCGAAUGGGGAAACCCGG
rnacentral:misc_RNA from 1 species